AGUGAACGCUGGCGGUAGGCCUAACACAUGCAAGUCGAACGGCAGCACAGGAGAGCUUGUUCUCUGGGUGGCGAGUGGCGGACGGGUGAGGAAUACAUCGGAAUCUACUCUGUCGUGGGUGAUAACGUAGGGAAACUUACGCUAAUACCGCAUACGCCCUACGUGUGAAAGCAGGGGACCUUCGGGCCUUGCGCGAUGGAAUGAGCAGAUGUCGGAUUAGCUAGUUGGAGGGGUAAAGGCCCACCAAGGCGACGAGCCGUAGCUGGUCUGAGAGGAUGAACAGCCACACUGGAACUGAGACACGGUCCAGACUCCUACGGGAGGCAGCAGUGGGGAAUAUUGGACAAUGGGCGCAAGCCUGAUCCAGCCAUACCGCGUGGGUGAAGAAGGCCUUCGGGUUGUAAAGCCCUUUUGUUGGGAAAGAAAUCCAGCUGGCUAAUACCCGGUUGGGAUGACGGUACCCAAAGAAUAAGCACCGGCUAACUUCGUGCCAGCCGCCGCAGUAA
rnacentral:rRNA from 1 species